rnacentral:misc_RNA from 1 species
GAUGAAGAACGUAGCGAAAUGCGAUACGUAAUGUGAAUUGCAGAAUUCAGUGAAUCAUCGAGUCUUUGAACGCACAUUGCGCCCCCUGGUAUUCCGGGGGGCAUGCCUGUCCGAGCGUCAUUGCUGCCCUCAAGCACGGCUUGUGUGUUGGGCCUCCGUCCUCCUCCCGGGGGACGGGCCCGAAAGGCAGCGGCGGCACCGCGUCCGGUCCUCGAGCGUAUGGGGCUUCGUCACCCGCUCUUGUAGGCCCGGCCGGCGCUUGCCGACACAUCAAUCUUUUUUCCAGGUUGACCUCGGAUCAGGUAGGGAUACCCGCUGAACUUAAGCAUAUCAAUAAGCGGACGA